CCGCGCGUCCUCUUGAUGGCCUUGGAGGACUGGUGACAUGGUUCGGAGGACGCUCCUGGUGCACCGCGGCGGAGCCAAGCCCCGCGCUCCUGAGGAGGGAGUUUGCCUGCUGAAACCAAGCCCCUAUAGGAUAUGCGGGGAUCUCACAUAAGUUGACAGGACGGGUGGUGACUGAGCCUGCUCGGUGUGUCCAGGGGAACCGGCUGUGAGCUGCCAAGGUAAGAAGAGACAUAGGGACCUGCAGUGCACCCCUGGCUGUGGGGGCUGUGCGGCUGCCCUGCAGAUGCUGUCCUGGACCUGCCAGCACCACAGGCACAGCCACUCUGUUCCUGUGACUUCGGGGCAAAGAGCAUCUGGCUAUUUCUACGCUCAGUGUUCGGAGACCAGUGAGCACUAAGAAUGGUUUAUAGCCAGACAUUUCUGGAGGAUGGCAGGUGCGUUGGGCACUGAGGGUGCUGAUAGGCCCCAGCUAUGUGGCAGGCUUUCAGGACAGUGGAGGAGCCAGGCAAGGGUCUCGUUCCCAGGCCUCUUUCCUGGAAGUGGCCUUCUGGGGAGGCCUGAGAACCACAGAACAGAGCUGACAGGCAACGCCGUGUUCUGCUCAGUGCCCUGGCUUCUGUGGGGGAAUGGACCCAUGCCGUGAUACCCUUGAGAAGAGCGGAGGCUCUCGCUGGCUUUGUGCUAUUGGUGAGGCCCGGGCCCCUGAGGGUUCCCCACAGCUGUGCAGUCUCUUCGGGGCCCCUGUGGGUCACUGUCCCUUCCAGGCUGGGUGGAGGCCAGGGGUGCUGCAGCAUGACCCGCAGUUCCCAGGAGGUUACGUGGUCCCAGAAGUCAGCACUGCCAGACCUUGCUGGAUCCUCUUGGCGAAAUGAGCUGUGCCUGAUUGGACUCCCUGGCAUCCUCCGGUGAAUCCAGGUGGAAGGAACGAUAAGCCUGUGCUGACCCCACCCCUCUUCCUUUUCCAGAUCCAAGCCCCUGGAGGAAGAGAUCUGACCCCCAGCCCUGAGGCCGGUAAGGCAGGCACGAGUGCAGCUCCAUGCUCAGACCCAGUGGUGUGGCGGUGCAGUGUGUCACUGGGUAGCGUGCCCCGCAGGUGCUGCCCCACCAGUGUGCAGGGGAGGCCAGGGAACAGUUCUGAGCUAACUGACUGGGAUCAUCCUGGUUUUGGUUAUUGUUUUGCCUAAGAUGGGAAAAACAGGGAAGAAUGAAUUGUAAGCAAAGGUGCGGUGUGGCAUGGAGAAGUUGUGGUUGAAACCUGGGAAUGGCUGCAGUCUUAAGCAAAAGAUGUUAAAAUGAACCAAAGGGCGGGAUUUUUAGCUCAGUGGCACCGCACCUGCCUGGCAAGCAUGAGGUCCUGAAUUCAAUCCUCAAUAC